rnacentral:rRNA from 1 species
UAUCCGCCCGGGAACUACGAGCACCAGCUUGAAACCCAAAGGACUUGGCGGUGCUUUAGAUCCUACUAGAGGAGCCUGUUCUAGAACCGAUAACCCCCGUUCAACCUCACCUUUCCUUGUUUUUCCCGCCUAUAUACCGCCGUCGUCAGCCCACCCUAUGAAGGACUAAAAGUAGGCUAAAUUGGCACAGCCCAGAACGUCAGGCCGAGGUGUAGCGUAUGGAAGGGGAAGAAAUGGGCUACAUUCCCUAUGUUAGGGUACACGAAUGGUGUGCUGAAACGCACAUCUUGAAGGAGGAUUUAGCAGUAAGCAGGAAGUAGAGCGCUGCUG